GUCAAUAUGUCCGAGUGGUUAAGGAGACAUACUUGAAAUCUGUUGGGCUUCGCUCGCGCAGGUUCGAACCCUGCUAUCGACG
rfam:Picea glauca, whole genome shotgun sequence.